GAUGAACGCUGGCGGCGUGCCUAAUACAUGCCAGUCGAGCGAACGGACGAGGAGCUUGCUCCUCUGACGUUAGCGGCGGACGGGUGAGUAACACGUGGAUAACCUACCUAUAAGACUGGGAUAACUUCGGGAAACCGGAGCUAAUACCGGAUAAUAUAUUGAACCGCAUGGUUCAAUAGUGAAAGACGGUUUUGCUGUCACUUAUAGAUGGAUCCGCGCCGCAUUAGCUAGUUGGUAAGGUAACGGCUUACCAAGGCAACGAUGCGUAGCCGACCUGAGAGGGUGAUCGGCCACACUGGAACUGAGACACGGUCCAGACUCCUACGGGAGGCAGCAGUAGGGAAUCUUCCGCAAUGGGCGAAAGCCUGACGGAGCAACGCCGCGUGAGUGAUGAAGGCCUUCGGAUCGUAAAACUCUGUUAUUAGGGAAGAACAAAUGUGUAAGUAACUAUGCACGUCUUGACGGUACCUAAUCAGAAAGCCACGGCUAACUACGUG
rnacentral:rRNA from 1 species